rnacentral:rRNA from 1 species
UACGUAGGUGGCAAGCGUUGUCCGGAAUUAUUGGGCGUAAAGCGCGCGCAGGCGGUCCUUUAAGUCUGAUGUGAAAGCCCACGGCUCAACCGUGGAGGGUCAUUGGAAACUGGGGGACUUGAGUACAGAAGAGAAGAGUGGAAUUCCACGUGUAGCGGUGAAAUGCGUAGAGAUGUGGAGGAACACCAGUGGCGAAGGCAACUCUUUGGUCUGUAACUGACGCUGAGGCGCGAAAGCGUGGGGAGCAAACAGG